UUUUUAAAGAAGAUGACAUAAUCCCAAUUUUAUUGAUAGCUCUCACUUAUGGCGGAGGAAUACCGUGGUUACAAGCAGAUGCCUAGGGGUUACAUACAAUCAUAGAAUCCAAACCUAGGGAUCAAAAAAGAUAUAGACUAACUCAAACCCUAUACAGUUAUUCAAUAUAAACAAAUAGAACUCAAAUCUUAAUGAAUCAAUUUAAACCAACUAGAUCUGAAUAAAACUGAAUAGUGUACUAAAAACCUGCAUAAAACCUACACAGAAAAUUGCAUAAUCCAAAUUGGUCUUGCUGAAUAGCUUCAACAAAGAAUAAUAAUAAGAAAAUAAACGUGGAAUCUUUACUAGAGAUGAAAAUUUAACAAAU